rnacentral:rRNA from 1 species
GUGCGAAGGGUGCAUAAUCAUUUGUCCUUUAAUUGAGGACUGGUAUGAACGGCUGAACAAGAAAUCAACUGUCUCUGCUAUAAAUUUUGAAAUUGACAUUUAAGUGAAAAGGCUUAAAUGAGAUAGGGGGACGAUAAGACCCUAUAAAUCUUGAUGAUUAAGAUAAUAAAUUUUAGGCAGUAGUAAUAAGUUUAAAUUUAAUGUCUUAAUUAUUUUGUUGGGGCGACAGGAGUAUAAGAAGUAACUGCUUUGAAAAAAUAAUUAAUUAUUUUUAUGAUGUUUUGUUUGUGAUCCUUCUAUGAAGAUAAUAGAUCAAGUUACUUUAGGGAUAACAGCGUAAUCUUUCUUGAGAGUCCAUAUCGAAAGAAGGGGUUGCGACCCCGAUGUGAAAUUAAGG